rnacentral:rRNA from 1 species
GGAGGAUGCAAGCGUUAUCCGGAUUCAUUGGGUUUAAAGGGUGCGCAGGCGGAAUGAUAAGUCAGUGGUGAAAUCUCCCGGCUCAACCGGGAAACUGCCAUUGAUACUCCAUUCUUGAGCACAGUUGAAGUGGGCGGAAUGUGUCAUGUAGCGGUGAAAUGCUUAGAUAUGACACAGAACACCGAUAGCGAAGGCAGCUCACUAAGCUUAACUGACGCUCAUGCACGAAAGCGUGGGGAUCAAACAGGAUUAGAUACCCUGGUAGUCCACGCUGUAAACGAUGAUCACUCGUUGUUGGCGAUAUACUGUCAGCGACUGAGCGAAAGCAUUAAGUGAUCCACCUGGGGAGUACGGCGGCAACGUUG